UUGUUUCUGUGUAGUCUCUUCUUUAUGAUUCGAUCGAACUUAUUCUAGGACAGUUUAUACAGCAGUUUAUCAAUACAUUUGGUAAGUGCUAUUCUUUACCAACAUAAAUUAGUUUGCCCUUCUGGAAAGCAAAAAAAUGAAACAGCAAAGUUAGAUGGAUAUGGCGGCUCUCCAAUUGCAGACUUUGGGCAGAUUCAGGCUUCGUAUAUACCUUUCCAAUAUCUCACGGGCUUCUUUAUCUAUUUAUUUCCUUGCUUGUCUUUCUUGGAUGAAGAAAGCUGUUAGCUCAAAUGAUCAAGUAGUUCAUUUUGGGGAUGUGUCUGUGCCACUGCCAGAUGUCCCUGUUCUGGAUUUAUGGGACUGUGAUCAAAGCUUCCAUAAAGUUUGGGAGGCUGGGGAAACCGUCCACAAAUCUGCCUUCUACACAUUCUAGCUUUCCUUGCUUCGGAACUGCUCCAACAUGUGAAGUGCAUCCCGACCCAGUACUACUUAGAACAGUUUUGAGUUUUGCCUUUCCAGGGCAAGAGUACAAGUUGCAUAGUUCUAGUGCAAGGUAUUUGUCUUCUUUGUCGAUGUAUAUGAUUCUUCAAACCCAAGAAAAUGCUGGGCUUUCCCUGAGUUAGCAAUUAGUAUGCAAAGUAACCCCUAAUAAAAUCAGUGGAAAAAAGUGAACUAAAGUUGGCUGAUCGAGACGCUGAUAACAAGUGUAUGAUGGCUUUAGCCAAUCCCUCUGCAUCCAAAAAAAUAAACUUCUGUUAUUUGAAGCUUGGUAUUUGGCUUCUUUUUUUCUUUUGCCUUGUUUGGUUCAUAAUGACUUUCCAGGUCUUAUUAUUUUCUUGAUUCAUAAUCCAUACAUCCUAUAUAUAGAUGCUUAAUGCAUCCACCAACCAAGUAAAUUCCUGCUGAGAGUCAAAUCCCCAUUUUACAUUUCCUACUAAUGCACAUUAUAGCACAUACCGUAACACCAUAGUGUAUAUGAGCUUCCAAUAUGGUCUCUGGCAUUAAACUUCAAAUUCUGACAACGUACCAGAGAAUUCUUCCAAUAAGAAAUCCCAUCAUGGUCUUGCAGGGCCGGAAGGUCAUCUCAAUAGAACCUGUCAUACUUCCUCCCAGCAACAUCAGAGAUUAAUUGCAAUCAGAUAAUAUCGGUGUUAACACAUAUGGGAGAAAUCUUACCUUCGUGAGACAAAAGGCACCACCCCAAAUGUUAGUCCACAUGCUGCUUGGCAGAAUAAAGAGAACACGAUCAUCACCACAAUGGACGCGCCUAAAGAUCCAACUCGCCCA